rnacentral:rRNA from 1 species
CUGCUGCCUCCCGUAGGAGUUUGGGCCGUGUCUCAGUCCCAAUGUGGCCGGUCACCCUCUCAGGUCGGCUACUGAUCGUCGCCUUGGUGAGCCGCUACCUCUCCAACUAGCUAAUCAGACGCGGGUCCAUCUCAUACCACCGGAGUUUUUCACACCAAACCAUGCGGUCUUGUGCGCUUAUGCGGUUUUAGCAGUCAUUUCUAACUGUUAUCCCCCUGUAUGAGGCAGGUUACCCACGCGUUACUCACCCGUCCG